CGGGCCUGGCGGCACCAGGGGGCGCCGGGACAUUUGCUGCGUGUACAUUCUCUUUUCUCGGCGUUUUGGGUCACGUCCUCCCUUGCCCCCUCACUCCCGCAGGUUCUGCCCUCACUGAGGGAGCGCUGCGGCCUGCUGGGAGCUGACUGGUGGCCGGCAGCCCCUGGGCGGCCUCAGGCUGGGGCCGGUCACCAGAAGACCAGGGCAGGUUAGAGGGUUGAGACUUCCAGCCCCGCGCCCAACCGCUGGGGAGGAGGAAGGGGCUGAAGGUCAAGUCCAUGACCAGUGGCCGCUGAUGUCCUCAAUCCUGUGUAUGUAAUGCAGCCUCCAUAAAAACCCAAAAGGACAGGUGGCAUGCCAGGAGAGGGCAUGGAGGCCCCGCAUCCCCCCACAUGCCUUCUCUAUACAGCUCUUCCCUCUGCACCCUUGGAACCCUUUGUAAUAAGCCGGUCAACGUGAGCAAAGUGGUUCCCUGAGUUCUCUGAGCCGCUCCAGCAAAUUAGUUGCAUUCGAGGAGGGGCGUGGGAACCCUGAUGCGUGGAUGGUCAGUAGGAGCACAGCUCCUGAAUGCCUGUCCCAAAGCUAGUUGCCUCUCCCCAGAGACCAACCUUCCCAGACGGAAUUCUUGGUGUGGAGUCCGAGAGGCAACUUCUUGGAAGACUGCUCCCGAGCUUGCCUUCUGAGAGGCCACCCCCCCCAACCAAGUAUCAACUCCCAGGCCUAAAUGGCAGCCAUCAAGACAGCAGUCUGCCAGCAAAGAGAGGUCCAGAGUCACAAGGAAGGGAGCUCACAAGUUUGCCUGGCCCUAACGAAGCUUAUUCAGCAAUGUCGUGGGUGUCUGCUGGGCCCGAGCCAACAUCUCCGAGUCUGGGAUACUGGCAAGGAUGGAGACUGACUCUGGACCACGGUGAAUUCACCAGAGGAACUCCACUCUGCUCGCAGGCCCUUUGUGCAGACAGCAGCUGCCCUUCCUCAGAGACACCUGGGGGCAAGCUGAAUAAUGGCCCUAAUUAUCUCCAUGUGCCGAAUCCCCAGGACUUGUGACUGCGUUGCCUGAUGUGCUAAAAGGGACUGUGCAGGCGUAGUGAUUAAGUUGAGGACCUGGAGGGACUUUUAAACCAGACUACAUUUCCCAGGAUCCCUUGCAGCCAGGACAUGAGCAUGUGACAUGAGCCCUACCCAUCAGAUGCCCCUUUACAGGAAGACCCUUGGAGGAAUCCUCCCCUGGUCUUCGUAGGGGCUCAGUGGAGCAGUCAUUAAGAACUCAGGGGCGGCAGGGGCAGAGGUCCUGGCAGUCCCGUCUCAGUAUGCAAAGUGCCAGCAGCACCUGCACUCAGCUGGGAGAAGAUGAUUUGGGUAUUGUUCCAGGCUGAAGAGCCUGCAGGCCUGAUUUUCUGGCCUUCCUGGAGACUCUGUGAGCCCCCCAAUAUCCUUCAAAUAAAUGGUUUGCUACUUAA